AAACGAACGCUGGCGGCAGGCCUAACACAUGCAAGUCGAACGCUGCAGCAAUGCAGAGUGGCAGACGGGUGAGUAACGCGUGGGAACCUUCCCAAUGGUGCGGAAUAGCUCAGGGAAACUUGAGGUAAUACCGCAUACGCCCGAAAGGGGAAAGAUUUAUCGCCAUUGGAUGGGCCCGCGUCGGAUUAGCUAGUUGGUGGGGUAACGGCUCACCAAGGCUACGAUCCGUAGCUGGUUUGAGAGAAUGACCAGCCACACUGGGACUGAGACACGGCCCAGACUCCUACGGGAGGCAGCAGUGGGGAAUAUUGGACAAUGGGCGCAAGCCUGAUCCAGCCAUGCCGCGUGAGUGACGAAGGCCUUAGGGUUGUAAAGCUCUUUUGGCGGGGACGAUAAUGACGGUACCCGCAGAAUAAGCCCCGGCUAACUUCGUGC
rnacentral:rRNA from 1 species